GUGGGGAAUCUUAGCACAAUGGGGGCAACCCUGAUCUAGCCAUGCCGCGUGAGUGAUGAAGGCCCUAGGGUCGUAAAGCUCUUUCGUCAGAGAUGAUAAUGACAGUAUCUGGAAAAGAAACCCCGGCUAACUCCGUGCCAGCAGCCGCGGUAAUAUGC
rnacentral:rRNA from 1 species